rnacentral:rRNA from 1 species
CGGAACACGUACAGAACCUUCCUUUAAGCGGGGGAUAGCCCAUAGAAAUGUGGAUUAAUACCCCAUAGUAAUAUUGACUGGCAUCAGUUGGUAUUUAAAGAUUUAUCACUUAAAGAUGGCUGUGCGGCUGAUUAGGUAGUUGGUGUGGGUAACGGCUCACCAAGCCAUCGAUCAGUAACUGGUGUGAGAGCACGACCAGUCACACGGGCACUGAGACACGGGCCCG